GGAAUUUUGCACAAUGGGGGAAACCCUGAUGCAGCGACGCCGCGUGGAGGAUGAAGGCCUUCGGGUUGUAAACUCCUUUUGUAGGGGACAAUGAUGAUGGUACCCUGCGAAUAAGCCACGGCUAACUCUGUGCCAGCAGCCGCGGUAAGACAGAGGUGGCGAGCGUUGUUCGGAAUCACUGGGCUUAAAGGGCGCGUAGGUGGUAGAGCAAGUCUGAGGUGGAAUCCUGGGGCUUAACCCCAGAACAGCCUUGGAAACUGCAUUACUUGAGUCAGUGAGGGGAGGGUAGAAUUCCUGGUGUAGCGGUGAAAUGCGUAGAUAUCAGGAGGAAGGCCUGUGGUGAAGACGGCCCUCUGGCGCUGAACUGACACUGAGGCGCGAAAGCGUGGGUAGCAAACA
rnacentral:rRNA from 1 species